rnacentral:rRNA from 1 species
GACGAACGCUGGCGGCGUGCUUAACACAUGCAAGUCGAACGAUGACGACCGAGCUUGCUCGGUCUGAUUAGUGGCGAACGGGUGAGUAACACGUGAGCAACCUGCCCUUCACUCUGGGAUAGCCUCGGGAAAUCGGGGCUAAUACCUGAUAUGAGCUCCUGUCGCAUGGGGGGUGUUGGAAAGUUUUUCGGUGGAGGAUGGGCUCGCGGCCUAUCAGUUUGUUGGUGAGGUAGUGGUCCACCAAGGCGAUGACGGGUAGCCGGCCUGAGAGGGGGACCGGCCACACUGGGACUGAGACACGGCCCAGACUCCUACGGGAGGCAGCAGUGGGGAAUAUUGCACAAUGGGCGGAAGCCUGAUGCAGCGACGCCGCGUGAGGGAUGACGGCCUUCGGGUUGUAAACCUCUUUCAGCAGGGAAGAAGCGAAAGUGACGGUACCUGCAGAAGAAGCGCCGGCUAACUACGUG